rnacentral:misc_RNA from 1 species
UUGCUUGCCUGCUCUUCUCACCGGCCUUUCUUACUUCCAUAAUUCAACUCUUCUGUUUUCUUCUCUAACUUUGCUUUUCCUGUUAUAGCCAUUGCCUCAUACACAUAGCAAGCAUUACAAAGUGAGAUAGAUAUUCACAUAGCAAGCAUUACAAAGUGAGCUCUGAAGAUAAUUGCGGAGAAUGAGUUUCAGAGAAGAUACCGAAGAUGUGAGAGGGGAUUUACGGAAACCGUUUUUACACACAGGAAGUUGGUACCGGAUGGGCUCCAGGCAAUCCAGCUUGAUGGGCUCGUCCCAGGUCAUUCGCGAUAGCUCCAUCUCUGUUGUCGCCUGUGUGAUGAUCGUCGCUUUGGGUCCCAUUCAAUUCGGUUUCACUUCUGGUUAUUCGUCUCCAACCCAAAGUGCGAUCACUGAAGAUCUUGGACUUUCUGUCUCGGAGUACUCUCUAUUUGGUUCGCUAUCCAAUGUGGGUGCUAUGGUUGGGGCUAU